rnacentral:rRNA from 1 species
ACCCGUUGAUCCUGCGGAGAUUGCUGCUAUCGGGAUUCGAUUAAGCCAUGCAAGUCUAGGGGGUCUUCGGACCACCGGCGAAAUGCUCAGUAACACGUUGAUAAUCUGACUUUUGGUCUGGAAUAGCCUUGGGAAACUGAGGGUAAUACCGGAUAGAAGAAUUUGCCUGGAAUGGUUUUUCUUUGAAAGAUUACGCCAAAAGAUGAGUCAGCGGCGGAUUAGAUUGUUGGUGAGGUAACGGCUCACCAAGUCGAAGAUCCGUAGGGGCCUUGAGAGAGGUAGCCCCGAGAAGGACACUGAGAUACUGGUCCUAGCCCUACGGGGUGCAGCAGGCGCGAAACCUUUACAAUGCACGAAAGUGUGAUAAGGGAAUCCUGAGUGCUUAUGCUUUGCAUAGGCUUUUGCCGAGAGUAAAUAUCUCGGAGAAUAAGUGGUGGGCAAGACUGGUGCCAGCAGCCGCGGUAACACCAGCGCCACGAGUGGCAAUCGUUUAUUGGGCCUAAAGCGUCCGUAGCUGGUUUGGCAAAUCUCUUGUGAAAUCGCUGGGCUUAACCUAACGGCGUGCAGGGGACACUACCAGACUUGAGACCAGGAGGAGUCAGAGGUAUUUUUGGGGGAGUGGUAAAAUGCAGUAAUCCCAAAAGGACCACCUGUGGCGAAGGCGUCUGACUAGAAUGGUUCUGACAGUGAGGGACGAAAGCCAGGGGAGCGAUCCGGAUUAGAUACCCGAGUAGUCCUGGCCGUAAACGCUGCGAGCAAGGCGUUGCACAUUCUCGAGGAUGUGCAGUGUCGAAACGAAGGUGUUAAGCUCGCCGCCUGGGAAGUACGGUCGCAAGACUGAAACUUAAAGGAAUUGGCGGGGGAGCACCACAAGGGGUGCGGCGUGCGGUUUAAUCUAACUCAACGCAGAAAAUCUCACCAGAGGCGACGGCAGGAUGAAGGUCAAGCUGAAGACUUUACCUGACGAGCCGAGAGGUAGUGCAUGGCCGUCGUCAGCUCAUGCCGUAAGGUGUCCUGCUAAGUCAGGCAACGAGCGAGACCUGUAUCCAUAAUUGCUAGCGGCUCUAUUAGAGGACCGAGCACUUUAUGGGGACUGCUCUGGAAACAGAGAGGAAGGUGCAGGCUACGGUAGGUCUGUAUGCUCCGAAUCCUUUGGGCUACACGCGCGCAACAAUGGUAAGGACAAAGGGACACAACUCCGAAAGGAGAAGUUAAUCCUCUAAACCUUAUCCAAGUCCAGAUCGAAGGUUGUAACUCACCUUCGUGACGAUGGAAUCCCUAGUAAUCGGAAGUCAUCAUCUUCCGGUGAAUAUGUCCCUGCUCCUUGCACACACCGCCCGUCAAACCACUCGAGCAGGGUUUAGAUGAAAAUCAGCUUUUUGGUUGGUUUGAAUCUAAGCUCAGUGAGAUGGGUUAAGUCGUCACAAGGUC